AUGGAACCUAGCGGUAAAACCCAGAAAUGUUUCCAAUCGUUUUUUCAACCAUUCAUUUUUUUCGUCUGGAAUUUUAGAACUACUUUGGUUAGGUCAAAGCUCUGUGGUUAGCUAAAUAAUCACCGACCGUAGGUAGCGUGCGUGUACAAUGCACCUUAGAAGUAAAAAAGAGAACCAGCAUAUGCUAGAAUGACUUGUGUUGAGUGAGCGAUUCAGCUAGUUAACUCACGGUUUGUGUAGUCAUACUUUUUUCACGUAGUGACAUGCUAGCUAGCAUUAGCCCACCAGGGAAGGGAUAUUUAGCUAACGUUGGCUAGUUAACGUUAAAUCACCAUUUGUGUAGUCAGACUUGCUACAGUAGCUAACAUUAGGGCGGCACCACGGCAAGGAUAGUUGGUUGGCUAGCAUGUCACCACAUAGAAAAGUCUGACUACACGAACGGUGAACUAAUGUUAACUAGUUAGCUAGCUAAAUGUUGGCUAGCUAGUUAGGCACCUACAUUAGCUAAAGUUGGCUAACUAGCUCACAAGGGACUUGUGGCCUCAAUGUUUUCCCCAUACAGUACACUGAAACGGUUUUGUUCCACAAGUGCACCUGUUGUACAUGACUAGUCAAAUGACCUGUGAAGUCAGUUGGAAAUGUCAACAUGGAUGGAAAUUAAGCUUGCCCGAGUCUAGUACUUUUCAGACUGGGCUAGUAGACAAUGUACCAAACUAGCCUGACACAGCAGUGAAAUUUUGCCUUUACAAAAAUUGCAUGCCACAGAUUUGGGACCUGAAUGUUACCCUGGCUAGUUGAAAUCCUUAUGUUCUACCCCUGCAUGUCAGUCCCCUUCAGACGAUUCCCCUAUCACUGUUGGUCCUCCUCAGUGACCUCAGGGUUUUAACUUUACUCUUGAGAAUUAAAAUAAUAAGUACAGCCGUAUAGCUCAUCGCAGUACUUCCUCUUCGGGCAAAUAGUAUCCUAGACUGUCUUGAUCAUCUAGUUGAGCAUUCCAGGCCAACAGGAGUGCACCACUCAGACCAUCCGGUGCAUGGACAUCCUGUGCCAGUGUGAUCUGAGCGCAACCGUCCAGUUGUAGACUACAGCAGAUCGAGCCUGUGGACGGAGAGAUAAAGAUGGUGAUACAGCAUUGAAAAAUAGAUCCUGCGCUAGUGUGAUCCGAGCAUGAGCGUCCAGUUAUGGAGGCUACCAGUGGUGGAAAAAGUACUCAAUUGUCAUACUUGAGGAAAAAUGAGGCGUGACAUGCGAAACAUCAGUCUCACCCCACCAGAAGCAGUACAUGAUCAACGCCAUCCUCAGCAAGGAGAUCUGCUGGAAGUGAUGUACUCUCACUCUGGGGGAUCCUAGUGUGUGUAUGGACCAUUGGCUUCCCAAAAAAACGGGUACUGACAGGAGGAGCAAUACGAGUCUGUCAGAGGUCGUCGUGAUGGAGGCUUGGUGGUCAAAACAACACAGAAUCAGGUGUUCCUUCCAAUGAUGUGGCACAGACCUUGGACCCGGUUCCAGUGUGGAUGGUCUUCGGAGGCUGUAAGACCCUCCCUCCUUGAUAUAGAAAUCAACUUCAAUGGUAAUGCCCCUGCACCAUAAGGACACUUGACCUCUAACCACUGCAGUGGUGCUCACCAGACCAUCCAGUGAGGCUCCCAGGACCGAAAGCCCUGACUCUCACACAUCCAUCCCUGUAGCCAUUUUGAAUGCCUGAUGCCCUCCUCUUUAUGUGCCCCACUUUACAGACAACACCCCAUCCAAUGAGUGUGAUCUGAGGACCCUGCUCCACCGACAGCACCAUGCCAGCCUGGUUGCCUGCAUACCCCAGGUGCCCUUGUUUUUGAACAAUGUCUGUUACAGGGAGGGUUGCGGUUGUUCUAGCUCAGGUUCAAGGAGACAUGCCAUUCCACUGAACCUUCCCUGGGGAUGGUUCCUUAGCCACUGAAGAUCCUCCUCUGUGGGCUCCCGGGACAGAGAGUAUUUGUAGUCUUCGGCCAGGUACAGGUCCUCCACUGACUGCACCUGGUUUGGCCCGGCUGGCUUCCUCCUCACACUCCACAUCCAUACAGCUGAUAUUGUGAACCGCCAAAAUAGGCUGCAUGGCUACACUUAUGAGCUCCAUGGAGACCUUUGCAUGUGGUAGAGAGAAUUACCUGGUCACUUAUUAUAGAGACCUGACAAGCAGAAGGAUGUUGGAUGUUAAGUGCCACAUGCCUUUCUGUGCUUGACUUUGAACACCCUGAAAUGCAUUUGUUUUAAGGGUGCUAUAUAAGAAGUUUGACAUUACAACUGUAGAAUAUUUCAACUGUAAUUUUCACAAGGACAAGUGCAGUUUGUCCAUAAACUUUUAAUUGAUAACUUGAUUUUCACUUGACAUAUCAGUCAGUGCAAAGGAUCCCAUAAUCAAGACUGAAUAAAUAAAUUGUUUUUGAA